CAUAAGUAUAGGCGUUCUUCAUCCAAUUCUGUUUCAAGCAUUUCUGGUUUUUCUACUUUUCCUGGUGCUGAUAAUUCUUCUCCAAUGUCUGUUGCUCAAGGAUACCGCUCUUUUACUGAACCACAUCCACAAGAUGAUGAACAUCAGCAGGCAUCAUCAAAACAGCAUAUGCAAAGUCUUCC